AAGGCUCUUGAAAAAGAUCACCUUCAUCCCUCUCAGGCAGAGAUGAAGGAACCCAAGAAGCACUCAGGGUUAAGCCCCAAUUCCUACUGCAUAGAUGUAAGAUGCCCAGGAUGUGACACAGUUGCCUCGGUCUUCGGCCACGCACACAUUGCGGUUUUGGGUGUUGAGUGCUCUGCUACUCUUAGCCAGUUUGCAGAAGGAAAAGCAAGGCUCACAGAAGGAUGCUCCUCUGACAGAGCAGCACUGA
rnacentral:lncRNA from 1 species